rnacentral:rRNA from 1 species
UACGUAGGGUGCGAGCGUUAAUCGGAAUUACUGGGCGUAAAGCGUGCGCAGGCGGUCUGUUAAGACCGAUGUGAAAUCUCCGGGCUUAACUCGGAACGGUCAGAUGAUACUGCUUUGCUAGAGUGCGGAAGGGGCAAUCGGAAUUCUCGGUGUAGCGGUGAAAUGCGUAGAUAUCGAGAGGAACACCUGAGGUGAAGACGGGUUGCUGGGCCGACACUGACGCUGAGUGCGCGAAAGCCAGGGGAGCAAACGGG